rnacentral:rRNA from 1 species
CCUACGGGUGGCAGCAGUGAGGAAUAUUGGUCAAUGGGCUUACGCCUGAACCAGCCAAGUCGCGUGAGGGAAGACUGCCCUAUGGGUUGUAAACUUCUUUUAUAAAGGAAUAAAACGAGGCACGUGUGCCUUUUUGCAUGUACUUUAUGAAUAAGGAUCGGCUAACUCCGUGCCAGCAGCCGCGGUAAUACGGAGGAUCCGAGCGUUAUCCGGAUUUAUUGGGUUUAAAGGGAGCGUAGAUGGGUUGUUAAGUCAGUUGUGAAAGUUUGCGGCUCAACCGUAAAAUUGCAAUUGAUACUGGCAGUCUUGAGUACAGUUGAGGUAGGCGGAAUUCGUGGUGUAGCGGUGAAAUGCUUAGAUAUCACGAAGAACCCCGAUUGCGAAGGCAGCUUACUAAACUGUGACUGACAUUGAUGCUCGAAAGUGUGGGUAUCAAACAGGAUUAGAUACCCUGGUAGUC